rnacentral:lncRNA from 1 species
CAACUCAAUACAUUCAUGAGAAGGACAAUCUUCAUGAAUCGAGUAUUUCUGUUGAGCCUGAUCCCGAUGAUAGCAACCUCAAAUAUGAAUCUGAUCCUGGUAGCAUCAUGGUGAAAUAUGAACCUGAUCCUGAUGACAGCAUCACAAAAGAUGAACCUGAUCCUGAUGACAGCAUCAUGAAAGUUGAACCUGAUCCUUAUGACAGCAUCAUGAAAGAUGAGCCUGAACCUGAUGACAGCAUUGUGAAAGAUGAACCUGAUCCUGAUGACAGGAUUACGAAAGAUAAACCCGAAUCUGAUGAUAGCAUCAUGAAAGAUGAUCCUGAUGACAGUAUUACAAAAGAUGGACCAGAUCCUGACACCAUCAUAAAAGAUGAACCUGAUCUUGAUAAAAGUAUUGCGAAAGAUGAACCCGAUCCUGAUGACAACAUCUUGAAAGAUGAACCUGAUCCUGAUCCUGAUGAAAGUAUCACGAAAGAUGAACCCGAUCCUCGUGAAUCUAUCACGAAAGAUGAACCCGAUCCUCGUGAAUCUUUGGGGAAAAUGGUAGAUUAUCUUAAGCAUGGAAGCUAUAAUGCUGAAACUAUCCGUGGUAAAUCGCUUCUAACAGUGGACGAUGUUAUGCAUGUUGAUUAUUAUGCACAUUCCGAAUCAUUGU